rnacentral:rRNA from 1 species
GAGCGCAACCCUUGUCAUUAGUUGCCAUCAUUGUUGGGCGACUCUAAUGAGACUGCCGGUGACAAACCGGAGGAAGGUGGGGAUGACGUCAAGUCCUCAUGGCCCUUAUGGUAGGGCUUCACACGUCAUCAAUGGUCGGUACAGAGGGUUGCCAACCCGCAGGGGGAGCUAAUCCCACAAAGCCGAUCGUAGUCCGGAUCGCAGUCUGCAACUCGACUGCGUGAAGUCGGAAUCGCUAGUAAUCGUGGAUCAGCAUGUCACGGUGAAUACGUUCCCGGGUCUU